rnacentral:pre_miRNA from 1 species
UUAGCUCAUAUUUGUAUGGAAUGGGAUCGUUUGCGUACGUUUGCCGCUAGGGGCGCUGUUCCGAUUACAUACAAAAUUGGCUUA